AUUGAACGCUGGCGGCAGGCUUAACACAUGCAAGUCGAGCGGAGAUGAGGUGCUUGCACCUUAUCUUAGCGGCGGACGGGUGAGUAAUGCUUAGGAAUCUGCCUAUUAGUGGGGGACAACAUUCCGAAAGGAAUGCUAAUACCGCAUACGUCCUACGGGAGAAAGCAGGGGAUCUUCGGACCUUGCGCUAAUAGAUGAGCCUAAGUCGGAUUAGCUAGUUGGUGGGGUAAAGGCCUACCAAGGCGACGAUCUGUAGCGGGUCUGAGAGGAUGAUCCGCAACACUGGGACUGAGACACGGCCCAGACUCCUACGGGAGGCAGCAGUGGGGAAUAUUGGACAAUGGGGGGAACCCUGAUCCAGCCAUGCCGCGUGUGUGAAGAAGGCCUUAUGGUUGUAAAGCACUUUAAGCGAGGAGGAGGCUACUGAGACUAAUACUCUUGGAUAGUGGACGUUACUCGCAGAGUAAGCACCGGCUAACUCUGUGCCAGCAGCCGCCGUAA
rnacentral:rRNA from 1 species